rnacentral:snRNA from 1 species
GCACUUCGGCAGCACAUCCACUAAAACUGGAACAGUACAGAGGAUAUCAGCAUGGCUGCUGUGCACGGAUGACACACAAUUAAUGAAGCAACUCAUGGAAUC